ACAAGGCAUUGCCUUAGUAGCGGCGAGUGAGCGGCAAAAGCUCAAAUUUGAAAUCUGGCGCCUUCGGUGUCCGAGUUGUAAUUUGAAGAUUGUAACCUUGGGGUUGGCUCUUGUCUAUGUUUCUUGGAACAGGACGUCACAGAGGGUGAGAAUCCCGUGCGAUGAGAUGCCCAAUUCUAUGUAAGGUGCUUUCUAAGAGUCUAGUUGUUUGGGAAUGCAGCUCUUAGUGGGUGGUAAAUUCCAUCUAAAGCUAAAUAUUGGCGAGAGACCGAUAGCGAACAAGUACAGUGAUGGAAAGAUGAAAAGAACUUUGAAAAGAGAGUGAAAAAGUACGUGAAAUUGUUGAAAGGGAAGGGUUUGAGAUCAGACUCGAUAUUUUGUGAGCCUUGCCUUCGUGGCGGGGUGACCCGCAGCUUAUCGGGCCAGCAUCGGUUUGGGCGGUAGGAUAAUGGCGUAGGAAUGUGACUUUACUUCGGUGAAGUGUUAUAGCCUGCGUUGAUGCUGCCUGCCUAGACCGAGGACUGCGAUUUAAUCAAGGAUGCUGGCAUAAUGAUCCCAAACCGCCCGUCUUAAAAAAGGGACCAGAC
rnacentral:rRNA from 1 species